AACUUCUAGAAACUGUCUCAGGCUGACACUGAAUGUUUUAAAUCUCACACGAAGGGUUCCUGUAUCUUUGCCUCUCUCUCUUUGCCUUUUUUGGAUACUCUCUAAAACGUAUUGCAAAUUCCCCUCAUUGACGGGGAAAAGGUGAUAGUCAUGGAAAUUUCAGGGGCAUAGAAAACCACACUUUGAAAAUGUGGCGAUUAUGAUUCCCCGUGGCAGAUUAAGUAGUUUUUAUAGUUUGGAACAUUAAUUAAUAUUUAUGGAGCCUUGUGUUGGCAGGAUGGGCCCUGAUCACUGGCUCCUGCAGCUUCAAAUCCAUUUCAAUUAUAACUUUGUUACUGUGUAAAUGUCACAUAUACAUUGCCAAUGUAUACAUUAGCAAAGCCGUGCAAAGGAUGAAACAUACCAGGAGAGAGUUUCUGCUUGCAUGGCUUUAGUCAGUGCUGGCAUCGGCUUCAGCAGUAAACACUCCUAAUUAGGGCUCUGCAGAAGUUUAUAUGCCUGUGUACAAUUAUGGGCUCUAUGUGGCCAAAUGAAGGACAUAAACUGCCUAGGAACCUAGGCUUCUCCUGGGCCAGAGACUAUUGGUUCCUUAGUAUUGUCUAUGUUGCCAGGGUUUCAGACUGGGUUCUUUCACCCUGGAUAUGCUGGGGAUUUGAGCUUGGGGCCUUCUGCCUGUAAAGCAGAUGUCCUACCGCUGAGCUAUGACCCUUCCCCAAAGGAAAAGGGCUUCUCCAUCUCCAUGAUGCUAACUGGGAAGAAAGCUAAUCAGUAGGUCAUCUUCUCACAGCCAAGAUGUUGGCUUCCCAAGUUGCAUUGUGGGUGGUGUUGGUGGUGAAGGGAGUGAAGUGGCUUAAGUAUUAGGCACCACUCAUAAUGAAUCCCCAGCAUGCCCAGGGGUGGGAACAUGUCUCCCUGUUUCGAAGGGAGAGGAAAACCACCUGCCUGCCAACUACCUAAAAGCCAGUGCUGAAAUCUGGUGGUGAUGGUGAGCCAUGCAAGAUAAGGGAUGGCAAAAGAGAGAACUGGCAGGAUGGUGGGAAGAAAGUCAGCAAAGCAAUGGCUUGGUGCACAGUGCACAGGGUAGUUGUUUAAUGCAAGGGUAGGCGACAAAGCUUUCCCUUGGAGGAGCAUAAGAAGAGUUCUUCUGGAUCAGACCAAAGGGCUAUCUAGUCCAGCAUCCUGUUGUCACAGCAGCCAACUAGAUGCCUGUGGGAAACUGGCAAGCGGUACUUGAACACAAGAGCACUUUCCCCAGUGAGAGCCAGUAUGGUAUAGUGGCUAAGAGCGGCAGUCUCGUAAUCUGGUGAACCAGGUUCGUGUCUCCGCUCCUCCACAUGCAGCUGCUGGGUAACCUUGGGCCAGUCACACUUCUCUGAAGUCUCUCAGCCCCACUCACCUCACAGAGUGUUUGUUGUGGGGGAGGAAGGGAAAGGAGAAUGUUAGCCGCUUUGAGACUCCAUAGGGUAGUGAUAAAGUGGAAUAUCAAAUCCAAACUCUUCUUCUUCCCUCCUCACCAGCAUAGCUCAUUGACCAGGAAAGAUGUCUGCGCAGCAUUUUUGUCUUUUGGUAUGGUGGCUUCUGGGAAAGGAGUAACGGUAUUUGUAGGGUUUGUCAUUUUGAACUUUGUGCCAAACCAUGCCAUAAACGAUUGUUUCUACAGCACUGUAAACUAUGGUUUCAGACUCAUAUCAAGUAGUAGUGAAGUCUCCUUUAUCAUGGUUCAUAUGAUGUCUGAACUAAGGGAUGUCUUUGUGUGGCCUCUGCAACUAGUCCUGGGUGGUGCCUUUCAACGAGGUACCCUCCAGAUGUUGUCAAACUUUUAUCAGCCCUAACUAACAUGGCCAAUAGUUAAGGAUGAAGGGAGUAGGGACCCAGCAACCUUUGGAGAGCCCCACAUCUGGGCUAGCCUGUCACCACGGCUUCCAUGGCUCUAUGACCACCUUCUGUGCAAUCUACAAAUCUAGAGGCUAAAAACAGAAGUCAUUGCAUUUCCGAGUCUACAUUUAGAUGCUUAAAUACAUGCUCUGAGUUUCAAAAUUGCUGCUGUUCAUCCUUCAACUCCUACUCAAACAUACCAAAAUAUCAUGUACUUAGUUUGAAACCUGGGACAGGCCCCUCUUUUAAGAAGGUAGGUGCACCUGACUUUUGUUUUGAAAUAAAAUUCCUAGUCUUGAACAACAAACAAUCUUAGCUGUUCCAUCAUAUAUAUUUUUUUAAAAAAUUAGUGAACUUGUCAAUGUACAUAAGAGAAUAUGUUUCUCAAAACUCACCUCACCACAUGAUCUUUAUUUCAUAGGAUUUUUCUUUCCUCACAGAUGCCUAGAAAACAAUGACUCUUGUGGUUAUUUGAUCUCACAAUCUUAUUUGUGAGAGGAUGUCUUCCAUAGAAUGGAUUUCUACUUUGUGAUUUUUAAGGGCAGUGCUAUGAAAUUGUAAGUUUCUGGUACCUUACAACCUAGUUGCAUCAGAAAUAAUUUUAUCCUCUUUGGUGCAAGUUCCCCCCACCUUCCUUUCAAAUUAUACACGCUGUGACUUUAAAGCAGGGGUGGCAGCCGGGGGGCCUCCAGUUGUUGUAGGCCUCCAUUCUGCUUAUGGCAUACUGUACUCUCAAUGUUGAUUAUCAUUCAUGGAGAUAAGCCAUUACCUGUGGCAUGGAGAUUGUGAUUAUUCUCUAAGGCAAGGGACAACCUUGCAGUGGGCAAUAUUUUGGAUCACAUAUGGACUCAUUGUUCUUUCCUUAAAUUGAAGAUCAAUCCAAACAGAAUGGCUGCAUUCAGUUUAAAAAAUUGUACCGUGGAAAGCCCUGAGCUUGCACACUUCUCCCCACCCUACAUCCUCAUGGAUAAAGGGAGGAAAAUUGAAUUUAUUGUGUAGUUUGAGGAAACCACUGUUUCCCAUAUUGAGACAAACUGGGAAAAUGUGGUUUGCUAGAAACUGUGGUUGAUUAACAGACUGACUCUUUGGGAUGGUUGUAGGGUUUUUUGAGGAUAUGGUGGUUUAGCUCCAGAUGAAGGGACCAGAAAGAGGCACCGAGGGGUUUCUGCUUGACGUCUUGCUAAUCAUUCUAUGAGAUCCUGUAGGACCUCAUUUUAUUUCUCCAUGAUUUUCAGCACUUAUAUGAGAGCACUGGGAGUUGGGGUCAUACCAGGGUUUGUCACUGAAGUGUCAUCUGCUCUAUUUCUCUUUGAUAUCUGAAUCGUGUUAGCUGUGCAGGUGCUAAACCAGUGUCUGAAUGUGGUAAUGAGCUGGAUGAGGGCUAAUAAAUUGAAGCUGAAUUCUGACAAGACGAGGCACUGUAGGUAGAUGCUUCUUGGGACCAGACAACUGAUAUACAACCUGUUCUCUAUGGCAUUGCGCUCCCCCUGAAGGAGCAGGUUUGUAACUAAGAUGUGCUUUGUCCCGCUUUAUCACCAGAGGCUCAGACGUCCUUAGUUGCACAGUUCACCAUUUUUCCAGCUUUGCCUGGCUUGCCAAUUGUGGCCAUUCCUGGACGGCGUAGUCUGGCCAUGGUGAUCCAUGUUUCGGUAACCUCCAAGUUGGAUUACUGCAAUCUGUUAUGCAUGAGGCUCUUGGACUACCUUUGAAACUUCAACUGAUGCAGAAUUUUAACUGUUACAGCCAGGUUUUGUUCAUGUUAUGCCAGUCUUAUUACAAUGUCACUAGCUUAGUUUUCAAACCCCAUUUAAGAUGGUGUAUUUAUUUUGAAGGCCCCAAAUACUGUACCAGCCUACCCAUGUUUUGAAAUUUUCUGCUGAAGCUCUCCUCCAAGAGCCUCCCUUAUUGGAAGUGCACUUUUAAGGAUAUGAAUAAUUCACCUCCUGGAAUCUACUGGAUGAAGCACAUAUAUAAGUGUUUUAAAUAAAUAUAUAAAAAAUGGCUUGUAAAAGUCAGUUUCGCAUACCUAAUGGAACGGGAAACUGUGGUUUGCUUUUCCAAGUCCUCAAUUGAAGUUUAAAUUUCCUCCCCUUGUAUGUGAAAGGAGAGGGAGAGAACCCCAUUGUUUGUUACAUCUAAAUAUAGUCAGUUGUUGUUCUUGAUGAUGGAUCUUUGGUCUGAUUCAGCAAAGCACAUUUUACUAAAAUGGUAACAAAAAUGCAGAAUUGCACUUAGUUUCUUUUCUUUGUUUUGCUGAAGAGAGCAGCUAAUGACGGCAUUCAGGUGGCUUUGACUCAAAUAUUAGUUGAAGACUUGAGCUGUCUGCUUUUCAUCUUCAAAGGGCUGCUAGAGAAGAAGCCUAAUCUUCUGGAAUUUAAAAUCCAUAUAAUGGGGGCAUUGGGGCAAGGAAGAAAUUAAUAGAUUAACAGAGUCAUCCUGUAGAAUAUAAGGCAGGAGAAGGGAAAGGAAAAAUCUGCACAGUAUUACAUUUUCUGCUCUCUUCCCACUAGUUCCUCAUGCAGUCUGAUUUAUCGAGGGUUUGGGAGAACAGAUAAGGAAUGGCAAAGGGUUUUCUUCUUUUUUAAAAGAAGUUCACUUUGAACUAUGUCUCUCUCAUGCAUUGUCUGUUUGCAGAACAGAGGGUGUCAAUCAAGUGCUCCCAGAACACCCCAGGAAAAAGUUAUUUCCUACAUGCAAAAUGGAAAUUGCAGUUUGAUGCCCUUCCUGUUCUUCCUAUAUCUAUUUUUUCCCAGCCUUGAGACUUGAUAAAUGAACAUUUUUACAUGACUUUAGCCCUGUGUUCAUUCUCUCUCUCUCUCUCUCUCUCUCUCUCUCUCUCUCUCCCUCCCUUCCUCCCUUCCUCCAGUUUCUCUGACUUUCUUCUGGGACAUUCAGAAUUGGUUCCCUUGAGACACUUUCUCUUUGUAGAAGCUCCUGAGAUUUAAGUAUACAGUGCUGGGAACAAAAUUCUGCAUCUGUGAACUCAUCAUACUUUUUUUUUUUUAAAUGUAUUUUUAUUAAAUAUUUUCUUAGUUUACAUCCUACAUUUUGAGAGUGGAAUACUUCUUCAAAGGACAUACUGGGCAAGGGCUAAGCAACAGCCUAUUUUAAUAUAUAUUAACAUAAACAUAUCUGUGUUGAUAUAGAAUGUAUUUCAGUCUCCAGAUGAGGAAAGAAGAGGUAAAAUGUUGAAGGAAACUAGCUCUCUUUGGAAGGUCUACUAGUACUUAUUUUUUUUAGUAGGAUUUGUCCUUUUAUAAAUAUUCUUGGAUGAUCAUGUUCAGGUAUUGUGUUUUUAUGAUAGUUUUAUAUUGAGUUUUAAUGUCUUUAAUAUAUUUUAUGCUGUAAGUCACUUUGGGGCAUUCUUUUGUGAUGAAUAAAUAUAAUUCUUAUUCUUAUUCUUAUUAUUGGAAAGUCACCACAAAGUGACACAUUCCCUGACGUUCCUCAGCUUUUUCUUGCAUUCGGUUAACACCUGAUAGUAAUUCUUUUUCCUUCAGGGUAGAUAAUUAUGUGAGGAAAUGCUAUUUAAGUAUUUAAUAUGAGGGAACGCUGUAAAAUUAGGCCUGUUUUCAAAACAUAGGCACUGUCUUUAUGUCUGUAAAGUAAUAUGCUGUUUUAUGGUGCUGUAUAAAUAAGGACAGCAAGACUUCCAUCCUGAGAUAAUGAGUUUGUGUCCUGAGGUAAUGAAUUGGGUAACUGUCACUGUGGGAAAAGAGAAAUGUUUCGUGUCUUCUCAUAAUGCAUCAUAAAUUCUCUCCUGAGUGAAAAAUUAAUUGUCCCUGUCUGAUUGAAUAUAGGUACUAUAGCUGAAAUAUGCCAUUAUCUCCCUAUAGGAGCACAUAUUUGGAAACAAACAAAGCUCAAUGUUUUUCCUUUCUUCUGCCCAUGAAUUGAAUUGUGGAGAUUAAACAACACAUUUGGGGGAAUGGAAGGUUAUGGAAAUCAGCUAGAAACCUGUUUUGUUUGUUCUUUAGAAUCACUAACUUUUCUUAAAAAUCAAAUGGGUAAGAGAUAGGGGAAGAUUAUUCUUUGUAAUAACCAUGAUAGAGGCUUAGUUCUGACAAAUUGCAGAUGAGGAGUUAAACCUGUGUCUGGGUGGCACAUGUGGUGAUCCUAUAGUUGCUGUUUGCUUGGAACUGCAAAAUCUCUAAUUAAGAAUAAAUGUCUUUUUACUGCGAAAAUUUCACUGCUCAGUAGGGGCCUCCAUGGAUCAGGAAAGCUGCAGCCUGGCCAUGGCCAUGGUCAAUGGUCAUACUUCCAUUUUAGUUGGUAAAGUGUUUUUGUGAGACAUGGCUUAGAUUAGAGAACCAGGAGCCCUAUCCAAGUUUUGAUCAGGGAUUAUGUUUUUGCUAAGUGUCAGUCAUUCUACAGAAGAAUAAUGAUAAUUUGGCUAACAGACUGUUGUUACACAAAGUGUACUAAGUUGUGUACUAAGGAACUGACUACUCUUGACAGGAGGACUUCCUAAAAUCUCAGCAGUCUUUCCCAGCACCUCUUUGAGACCUCAAAGUAAGUUUAAUAAGAAAAAAACAUACCACAUUUCCCAUCUAUAAGAUGCCCCCGUGUAUGAGUUUUGGGGGAACUCAGAUUUAAGAAAAUGGGGGGAGAUAGCCCAGAGUAUAAGAUGCCCCCUAAUCUUUGACAUUAUUUUUUAGGGACAAAACCUAGUCUUAUACACUGAAAAAUAUGGUGGAUGGCUUGAGCAAGCAAUGAAUGAUCUGGUGGUUCUGGUUUUGUGAAGAAGCAAAAGUGUUCUUUGACUUGGCAGAAGCAACCAUCAAGCUAGAAGAAAAUCUCUUUAUUUAACUCUUGGGGUGGUGGUGAAUGGAGCUGCCCAUUGUCCCUGCUCCCAAUCUCAACUUAAUGUAGCUGGUUGACGGAACAAACCCGAAGAGUGCUUGCUAAUGGUUCCUCACCAUCCUCAGUGCUGUGUUGCUGUUCAGUAUCUUUAUACAUGAUUUGGAUGAAGGAAUUUGAGGGGAUACCCAUCCAAAUUGCAGAUGACAUCAAACUCGGAGUGGUAGUUAAUGUCUCAGAAGACAAAAUCUGAAUUCAGAUUGGAGAACUGGGCCAAAACUAACAAAAUGAAUUUCAGUAACGGCAAAUGUCAGAUUCUACACUUAGGCACCAGUAUAAGAUGGGAGGACACUUAGCUUACUAGUAGUACAUGUGAAAAGGAUCUAGGGGUCUUAUGGACCACAAGCUUAACAUGAGUCAACAGUGUGAUGCAACAGC